AAAAUCCUAGCCCCUUACUCACGCCGCGCCACCACCCUCUCCGAUCACCUCUGCGAGUUUUUGGCCGACGAAUGCCCAAGUUCCCUUCACGCGAGCCGUCUUUCGUCACGUCGUUUCUAGCGGGUUUCUCCAUCCGUCACGGUUUGGUUUCGUGCCUUGACGUCAUCGCUUCUUCGUCAGCUGACCGAUUCUGUCUCACCGUCAUAAGUGACGUCGAGCCGUCGAUGAGUCGUUUGUUCAGUCGUGUUCCGCCGUCGUAUACCUGAGCCGCUUCCAGCCGAGUUGUCUGAGCCGAGUCGUGUGUGUGAGCCGCAUCUUCCUCAGCCGUCUGUUCGAGUCGAGUUUUCCACCAGAGCCAAAUUCACCUGCACACGUGAGCUACCUUCCCCUUGUUGAGCCGCCAGACUAGAAUUUUGUCCUUUUUCCACCUAUUUGGACCUAUUUUGGUUUCAACCUCAACCUUGGGUUUUAUCUAUUGGAAAGUUUCGACGAUGCUAGAUAGGGAUUAAACGUUUAACAAAUCUCGAGGCUAAGGUAAAUAACCUAAGAAGCUGGCGAGGACAGCAAGGGAUCCGUGGUAUGCCAUAUGAGGACACAGUUCAGCUUCUGCACUUAUUUAUAUGUCUUUCAGUUUUUUAAAUUUUAGCCAUUUUACUUAAGAUUUUGUCCUAUUUAUUUGUUUUUAGUUCUUUAAAAUUGUUAGAACCC